UACGUAGGGGGCAAGCGUUGUCCGGAAUCAUUGGGCGUAAAGCGCGUGUAGGCGGCUUGGUAAGUCCGUUCUGAAAGCCUGGGGCUCAACCCCGGGAGGCGGAUGGAUACUGUCAAGCUUGAGUCCGGAAGAGGCGAGUGGAAUUCCCGGUGUAGCGGUGAAAUGCGCAGAUAUCGGGAGGAACACCAAUGGCGAAGGCAGCUCGCUGGGACGUGACUGACGCUGAGACGCGAAAGCGUGGGGAGCAAACAGG
rnacentral:rRNA from 1 species